rnacentral:rRNA from 1 species
UCCCAGACUCCUACGGGAGGCAGCAGUGGGGGAUAUUGCACAAUGGGGGGAACCCUGAUGCAGCGACGCCGCGUGGGUGAAGGAGCGUUUCGGCGCGUAAAGCCCUGUCAGCAGGGAAGAAAAUGACGGUACCUGACUAAGAAGCCCCGGCUAACUACGUGCCAGCAGCCGCGGUAAUACGUAGGGGGCAAGCGUUAUCCGGAUUUACUGGGUGUAAAGGGAGCGUAGACGGCAGUGCAAGUCCGGAGUGAAAGCCCGGGGCUCAACCCUGGGACUGCUCUGGAAACUGUAAAGCUGGAGUGCGGGAGGGGCAGGCGGAAUUCCUGGUGUAGCGGUGAAAUGCGUAGAUAUCAGGAGGAACACCGGCGGCGAAGGCGGCCUGCUGGACCGUAACUGACGUUGAGGCUCGAAAGCGUGGGGAGCAAACAGGAUUAGAUACCCUUGUA